GGGGCACAAAGAAAGCAGUCUGGACUCAGACCACUUCAGCCGCUCUCUUUUCCUGCCUCUCUCCCACACAAGGAGGACGGCACAGGCUGGGAUCAUACGCAUGGCCACCAAGUACCAUGAAUGCUACGGAUAUGAAAGUGGAAGGAAUUAAUCAUAAGGAAGUCUGAAUAGCUGUCCAUAGAAAGAACAGCAGGUAGUGUCAAGAAUCAGAAUCUCAAACAAACAGUCAACUUUGUCUACCUGGGAGGAAGCCUCGGUUCGAAGGGGGGAUCUGUUUCUGACGUCAAGAGGUGGAUAGAACAGCGAGG